rnacentral:miRNA from 1 species
UUUGCCACUGUAAACAUCCUUGACUGGAAGCUGUGAGGCGUUCCCAGGAGCUUUCAGUCGGAUGUUUACAGCGGCAGG